rnacentral:rRNA from 1 species
GCCUGGUUAGUACUGGGAUGGGAGACCGCCUGGGAAUACCAGGU